rnacentral:rRNA from 1 species
AGCGAACGCUGGCGGUAGGCCUAACACAUGCAAGUCGAACGGCAGCACAGUAAGAGCUUGCUCUUACGGGUGGCGAGAGGCGGACGGGUGAGGAAUACAUCGGAAUCUACUUUUUCGAGGGGGAAAACGUAGGGAAACUUACGCUAAUACAGCAUACGACCUACGGGUGAAAGCAGGGGAUCUUCGGACCUUGCGCGAUUGAAUGAGCCGAUGUCGUAUUAGCUAGUUGGGGGGGUAAAGGCCCACCAAGGCGACGAUCCGUAGCUGGUCUAAGGGGAUGAUCAGCCACCCUGGAACUGAGACACGGUCCCGACUCCUGCGGGAGGCAGCAGUGGGGAAUAUUGGACGAUGGGGGCAAGCCUGAUCCAGCCAUACCGCGUGGGUGCAGAAGGCCUUCGGGUUGUAAAGCCCUUUUGUUGGGAAAGAAAAGCAGCAGGUUAAUACCCCGCUGUUCUGACGGUACCCAAAGAAUAAGCCCCGGCUAACUUCGUG